rnacentral:rRNA from 1 species
UACGGAGGGGGCUAGCGUUAUUCGGAAUUACUGGGCGUAAAGCGCGCGCAGGUGGCGCAGUAAGUGGCUGGUGAAAGCCCUUGGCUCAACCGAGGAACUGCCUGCCAAACUGCUGCGCUUGAGGCCGGGAGGGGGAAGCGGAAUUCCUGGUGUAGCGGUGAUAUGCGUAGAUACCAGGAGGAACACCGGAGGCGAAGGCGGCUUCCUGGACCGGUUCUGACACUCAUGCGCGAAAGCGUGGGGAGCAAACAGG